rnacentral:misc_RNA from 1 species
GGAAGGAUCAUUAACAAAAAUUGAACUUAAUAACAAACUGACUUGGAGUACAAGAGCAAUCUUGUACUAUUUAAAUCUAAUAUCACUAUACUAUAAAUAAGUAUUGGUUGAUAAAAAAAUUAAAUUUUCAACGAUGGAUGUCUAGGCUCCCAUAACGAUGAAGAACGCAGCGAAAAUGCGAUAUGCAAUGUGAAUUGCAGAACCACGAAUCAUUUGAUCUUUGAACGCAACUUGCGCUGAUCAUAUCAGCAUACUUGCUUCAGUGUGCGUAAACAAAUUACAAUAUAAAUGUAAGAGAAAAUUCUCUUAUGAAAUAAAUGCUCUAAGUAGCAGUCACUAUAUGUGAGCUAUUCUAGAGAAUAAAUGCCAUAUUUGCACCUGAAAUCAAGUAAGAUCACCCGCUGGACUUAAGCAUAUUACUAAGCGGAGGAGAAGAAAUUAACUAAGAUUGCCUUAGUAAGGGCGACUGAACCGGCAAAAGCUCGAAAUUAAAAUCGGAAAAUCAAUGAUUUUUCGAAUUGUAAUCAGGGUUCCCUAAAUACGUGAAGUUUACUAACGGUAUCGAAAGACCGGCCAAAGAGGGUGAAAGCCCCGUGCGUUUAUUUCACGAGCAAGGGAAUUUAUCCAAGAGUCGUGUUGCUUGGAACUGCAGCACUAAGCGGGGGAUAUGAUUCCUCCAAAGCUAAAUAUGGAUGGGAGACCGAUAGCGAACAAGUACUGUGAAGGAAAGAUGAAAAGGACUUUGAAAAGAGAGUGAAAAGAUCUGAAAUCGUUGAGAAGGAAGCGGUUAAAGCUGAUCGAGGCUAUGACUGCACAACGCGGCCAAAAGUCGCAGAGUGUAGACCAAAGGCCCUGGACAAAAUCAAGUUCGUCGGACUAAAAAAGGUGCAAGCCGAUUAGAGUCUGAUUAACUUGAGGGUCUACGGAGAUUUUGUCUAAAAGGCUUUAACCGACCCGUCUUGAAACACGGACCAAGGAGUCUAACACAUAUGCGAGUGUGCGGGUGUAGAAACCCAUACGCGUAAUGAAAGUAAAAGAUGCGAAGCCACAAGCAGCAGCAUCGACCGACCUAGUAAGAAAGGUUUGAGUAUGAGCAUAUUUGUUAGGACCCGAAAGAUGGUGAACUAUGCCUGAGUAGGGUGAAGUCAGGGGAAACCCUGAUGGAGGCUCGUAGCGGUACUAACGUGCAAAUUGUUCGUCAAACUUGGGUAUAGGGGCGAAAGACUAAUCGAACCAUCUAGUAGCUGGUUCCCUC